AGAAUAUCAGACAGCCUAAUUCAAAGUCUUCAUAAUAAAACCGCAAAUCUAGUCCAAGGGUUUUUUUGGUCCCUAGCUUCUCGGGUGGGUGGGCAUUCGCCCUGGUCCUUCCCCCUUGGCUCCUCCACUGGUAGCAGCUUGUGGGGCCGGCCACGGGCACAUGGUGUGAUGGCUGACUUCAUCUGGGCUGCUUCUGCGUUCCCUGUCCACUAGGUACCAGGGCGGGGUAAG